AGAAUCAACGCUGGCGGCGUGCCUCAGACAUGCAAGUCGAACGAUUAAAGCUCUCUUCGGAGAGUGUAUAGAGUGGCGCACGGGUGAGUAACACGUAAGUAAUCUACCUUUGAGUGGGGAAUAACCCGGGGAAACCCGAGCUAAUACCGCAUAAUGCAGCGGCACCGCAAGGUGACAGUUGUUAAAGGAGCAAUCCGCUUAAAGAGGAGCUUGCGGCAGAUUAGCUAGUUGGUAAGGUAAUGGCUUACCAAGGCAACGAUCUGUAUCCGGUCUAAGAGGACGGUCGGACGACACUGACACUGAAUAACGGGUCAGACUCCUACGGGAGGCAGCAGUCGGGAAUUUUGGGCAAUGGGCGAAAGCCUGACCAGCAACGCCGCGUGAAGGAUGAAGUAUUCGGUAUGUAAACUUGAAAGAAUGGAAGAAUCGAAUAGACGGUAACCAAUUUAUAAGGUCCGACUAACUACGUGACCAGCAGCCGC
rnacentral:rRNA from 1 species